rnacentral:rRNA from 1 species
AUUGAACGCUGGCGGCAUGCCUUACACAUGCAAGUCGAACGGCAGCACGGGAGCAAUCCUGGUGGCGAGUGGCGAACGGGUGAGUAAAGUAUCGGAACGUGCCCAGUCGUGGGGGAUAACGUAGCGAAAGUUACGCUAAUACCGCAUACGAUCUAUGGAUGAAAGCGGGGGAUCGCAAGACCUCGCGCGAUUGGAGCGGCCGAUAUCAGAUUAGGUAGUUGGUGGGGUAAAGGCGCACCAAGCCGACGAUCUGUAGCUGGUCUGAGAGGACGACCAGCCACACUGGGACUGAAACGCGGCCCAGACUCCUACGGGAGGCAGCAGUGGGGAAUUUUGGACAAUGGGCGAAAGCCUGAUCCAGCCAUGCCGCGUGCAGGAUGAAGGACUUCGGGUUGUAAACUGCUUUUGUACGGAACGAAAAGGUUUGGCCUAAUAAGCUGAGCUCAUGACGGUACCGUAAGAAUAAGCACCGGCUAACUACGUGCCAGCCGCCGCCGUAA